AUGAAGGGUGAAGAUGAUGUAAAUACUGCGAGGAAAGAUGAGGAGGCUGAUGGCUCGGGUGAGAAACUCUUGGGUUUCUACAGCACAGAGGAGCAGCCAUCAGGCCCAGGAGGACAAGACGGCAUGUGGAGAAAUGAGAAGUAUGAAACCCUCCCAUUGGAUGUGAAGGGGACUGAUGAAGACAAUUCUAAAGGCACUAAAGAUUUGCUAUACCCCCAGGCUGCUGUAAGUCACAACAACAGAGAAAACAUACCUCUACACUCAUUUUGUUUAUUUCAUUUCAGGGAUAAAGACAUAUUACCGGUUCCUCAACUGUUUUCCUGUCUUUCUAGUACUGCACAAUUUGCAAGGCAAACUAUGGACAAAUAUGUGGACAUUUGAAUGCUUCAGUUUACACUUUUGUUAGGAACAGCUGAUUAUAUUAUAUUAAAGCUAGCUAGAGGUUAAAUUACAUAAAUAGACACAUUUGCAUUGUAAUUCUACUUUGUGCAAGGGAAAUAAUAUUGUAAGCUAAUAUUAUUGAGGAUAAUUUGUAAAACAAGCAAAUAUAUUUUCAUGAAAAGCUAAAGCUUACCAAAAAUAUCUUGACUAGAACACAUUGCCUUCUUUUUCGUACUCCAGAUGGUUCAAUAAACUUUAAGAUCUGCCGAGUGUGCGUACUCUUUAUGUGUGCAAAACUACUUUGCAUACUAAGGAAUAUUUGAAAGGCUUUGCUAAUCUGCAGGACAGGUUGAUCACUUUGAAAUAUCCUCUGAAAUGACUUAAUACAAAUUUAUUCAACUAUGUGUUUGGCGUUCGUAGAUUUGGUAGUUUUUGAGUGGUGUUACUCAUCCUUAUAUAAGGGUAACCGCACAUUCAGGAUUAAAAUAAAAACUCUUGUCAAGCAGUAAACUUAAUUUUGCAUUUGAGUCAGAUUUUGAUAGCUUCCUCCACUCUUUUUUUUUUUUUUUUUUUUUUUUACAUUUUUCUUUUCUUUUGUAAACAGUGCAAAAGUCUUUGAAGGGAUAGUUCACCCAAAAAUGAAAAUUAUGUCAUUAAUAACUCACCCUCAUGUCGUUCCAAACCCGUGAGAGCUUUUAUCUUCGGGACACAGUUUAAGAUAUUUUAGAUUUAGUCCGAGAGCUCUCAGUCCCUCCAUUGAAACUGUGUACGGUAUACUGUCCAUGUCCAGAAAGGUAAGAAAAACAUCAUCAAAGUAGUCCAUGUGACAUCAGAGGGUCCGUUGGAAUUUUUUGAAGCAUCGAAAAUACAUUUUGGUCCAAAAAUAGCAAAAACUAUGACUUUAUUCAGCAUUGUCUUCUCUUCUGUGUCUGUUGAGAGAGAUAGAGUUCAAAACACUGCAGUUUAGUGAUAUCCGGUUCGCAAAUGAAUCAUUCGAUGUAACCCGUAUCUCCUUGAACCAGUUCACCAAAUCGUACUGAAUCGUUUGACACGGUUCGCGUCUCCAAUACACAUUAAUCCACAAAUGACUUAAGCUGUUAACUUGUUUAAUGUGGCUGACACUCCCUCUGAGUUCAAACAAACCAAUAUCCCGGAGUAAUUCAUUUACUCAAACAGAACACUGACUGAACUGCUGUGAAGAGAGAACUGAAGAUUUUUUCUGAAGACGAACACAGAGCCGAGCCAGAUAACGAACAAACGAUUGACUCAUUCUCGAGUCAAGAACCGUUUCUGUCAGACGUGUCCGAUUCGUGAACCGAGGAGCUAUUGAUACUGCGCAUAUGUUGUGUGAUUCAGAGUGAAGCAGACCGACACACAGAGCAUCUGAACCGAACUGAUUCUUUUGGUGAUUGAUUCUGAACUGAUUCUGUGCUAAUGUUAUGAGUGCGGGUAAACCGAAGGCUUGAAUCAAGGGCAAUCAUCGGCAAUGACGCCAUUACGUCGAGCGCAAAAGAACCGGUGAACCGUUUUCUUCAACCGGUUUCUUCAACCGGUUUAUUUAAUCGAACUGUCCAAAGAACCGAUCACUACUGGUGAUCUGAAAACCGAUGCAACCGGUUCUUGACUCGAGAAAACGAGUCAAUCUGUCGUUCAUUAUCUGGCUCGGCUCGGUGUUCAUCUUCAGUUCUCUCUUCACAGUAGUUCAGUCAGUGUUCUGUUUGAGUAAAUGAAUUACUCCGGGAUAUUGGUUUGUUUGAACUCAGAGGGAGUGUCAGCCACAUUAAACAAAUUAACAGCUUAAGUCAUUUGUGGAUUAAUGCGUAUUGGAGACGGGAACAGUUUCAAUACGAUUUGGUGAACUGGUUCAGGAAGAUCUGGGUACAUCGAAUGAUUCGUUUGUGAACCGGAUAUCACUAAACUGCAGUGUUUUGAACUCUCUCUCUCUGACCCUGACUGACCCUCUGAUGUCACAUGGACUACUUUUGAUGAUGUUUUUCUUACCUUUCUGGACAUGGACAGUAUACCGUACGCACAGCUUCAAUGGAGAGACCAAGCGCUCUCGGACUAAAUCUACAAUAUCUUAAACUGUAUCUGAAGAUAAACGGAGGUCUUAAGGGUUUGGAACGACAUGAGGGUGAGUCAUUAAUGACAUAAUUUUCAUUUUUGGGUGAACUAUCCCUUUGAUAUCACUUUCAUCUUUGCGGAUUAAAAUGAAAUAAUUUCUUUAAAAGAUUCUAACCCCAAAAUUGAUCAGCAGUGUAAAUGCACGAAUAGGUUUCAACAUGGAUAAGAUCUUUUCCCCCAUAGAAAUUAGCUGUAAUUUGUUAACUAGGAUUUAUUUGGUGGGUAGUAGCUCUCUUACCCAAUGUUGUGUCCUUGUUUAAACUAACAUCACCCCAAACUCACAGCACUCAAACCAACAGAGCAACAUUGAAAGCACCGUGUUUACUGGAAAAUCAGCCUAAAUACAUAAAUACACCUUUAAAGGGCCAGAAAUCUGCCACACCCUUUAUAAAAUGUAAGAAGUUUGUGAAGUUUGCUGGAAGUCAUACUCUGAUUACACAGGCAGGCUUAUGUCUGAUUUUGUAAUGGAUGUAAAGAUUACUUAAUAAUACUAGUGUAUUUAUUUUUGGUUCAUAAGGUUUAAGGUUGAAGGUCAGAGAUGGCAUCAUGAUUUUGUUAUUGUAAAGUCAUUUUUAGAUUUAGUCCAUAUACUUUUUUUUAUAAUCUCUUCAUCUAUUUUAAAUAGAAUGUCAAAAGAUAUUUACUUUAAAUCAUAUAAUAAUCUACUAAUGCAAAUUAGUCUCUUA
ensembl:lncRNA